rnacentral:misc_RNA from 1 species
GUCGCGGAAACUGGCGCAUCGGGCUUGGCCGAUUGUGUGGCUGCCGGAGAGGGCGGUCAUCUCGGCGGCGUUAAGGCCUUUGGCGGAGAACAUGGAGAUCAAAGUUGAAAGGGUGGAAGUUGGCAUAGGGAUUUGGGCGUUGGCGGAGCUUAGGCUUGCGGUUCUUGCGUCUCUUCGGCCCAAUUGCACGGUCCAUGUUGGCCCUCCUAGCUGCGUAAAUACGAUGUUAUAAAUAUAUAUUUAAAUUUGUAUA